UUGAUGACUAGAGUUUGUGGUGGUCGAAAAAUAAUGGGUAUGGUUGGUUGUUUGGGUUGCUAUAUAUUGAAGGUUAGGAAUGGUCAGUGCCAAAUUUGGUGCUCUUUGGGUGAAGCUGGAGUUUGUUGCACACAAGUGCUUACGCUGUUUGGUAGUUCAGAGAGGGGCUGUGGUGAACAGGGAGAGGUUUCGGUGCUUGUGGAGGAUUUUGGUUCUUGGGAGUGUUGGGAUUGUAUGGCUGGAUUGGAGGCAAGGGCGGUCAGGGUCAAUUUUUGCGUGUUCGAUAGGUGUUAGAAAUGGUUGGGGGUGUAUUUCGAGUAAAGGCUGUGUGGUUGAGGUUCGUCAAUGGUGAUUGAGGCUAGGAAGACCUUUUUUGUUUGUGUGAAUUCUCCUCCAUGCAUCCUUUUUCUCUGACUGUCUUUUUUAUUUUUAUAGAUUGAGAGCUUAUAUGAAAGGAGUAAUGCAUUCAACUUUUUUGGAAUCUUCUUGCAGCAUUUUCUGUUGAUUUCUGGGGCUCUGCAUUGUUCUUGGUCCAAGAGCUAAAAAAAGUUUCUAGGUUUGUGUUAAAUUGCCUGAGUUUAAAAAAACAGUGAAAUUAGUGAGCUGAAAAUAGGUUUGGUAAAAUGGUUAAUUUUUGGAGAACGGAAAAGUGAGGGCAGACUGGUGCUAACCUUC
rnacentral:lncRNA from 1 species